rnacentral:rRNA from 1 species
UACGCCGCGUGCGGGAUGAAGGCCUUCGGGCUGUAAACCGCUUUCAGCAGGAACGAAAAUGACGGUACCUGCAGAAGAAGGAGCGGCAACUACGUGCCAGCAGCCGCGGUGACACGUAGGCUCCAAGCGUUGUCCGGAUUUAUUGGGCGUAAAGAGCUCGUAGGCGGUUGAGUAAGUCGGGUGUGAAAACUCUGGGCUUAACCCGGAGACGCCAUCCGAUACUGCUCUGACUUGAGUUCAGGAGGGGAGUGGGGAAUUCCUAGUGUAGCGGUGAAAUGCGCAGAUAUUAGGAGGAACACCGGUGGCGAAGGCGCCACUCUGGACUGAAACUGACGCUGAGGAGCGAAAGCAUGGGUAGCAAACAGGAUUAGAUACCCUGGUAGUCCAUGCCGUAAACGGUGGGCACUAGGUGUGGGUUCCAACUAACGGGAUCCGCGCCGUCGCUAACGCAUUAAGUGCCCCGCCUGGGGAGUACGGUCGCAAGACUAAAACUCAAAGGAAUUGACGGGGGCCCGCACAAGCAGCGGAGCGUGUUGCUUAAUUCGAUGCUUACGCGAAGAACCUUACUGGGUUUG